UACGGAGGGUGCAAGCGUUAAUCGGAAUUACUGGGCGUAAAGCGCACGUAGGCGGCUUUCUAAGUCAGGGGUGAAAUCCUGGAGCUCAACUCCAGAACUGCCUUUGAUACUGGAGAGCUUGAGUCCGGGAGAGGUGAGUGGAACUCCGAGUGUAGAGGUGAAAUUCGUAGAUAUUCGGAAGAACACCAGUGGCGAAGGCGGCUCACUGGCCCGGUACUGACGCUGAGGUGCGAAAGCGUGGGGAGCAAACAGG
rnacentral:rRNA from 1 species